GCCUGGGUGGCUCAGUCGGUUGAGCAUCCGACUUCGGCUCAGGUCAUGAUCCCAUGGUUUGUGGGUUCGAGCCCCACGUCGGGCC
rnacentral:tRNA from 1 species